GUCGAGAAUCUUUCACAAUGGGGGCAACCCUGAUGGAGCGACGCCGCGUGGAGGAUAAGGUCUUCGGAUUGUAAACUCCUGUCAUGCGUGAACAAGGUUGCUUGGUUAAUACCUGGGCAAAUUGAUGGUAACGCAAGAGGAAGAGACGGCUAACUCUGUGCCAGCAGCCGCGGUAAUACAGAGGUCUCAAGCGUUGUUCGGAAUCACUGGGCGUAAAGGGUGCGUAGGUGGCGUGGUAAGUCAGAUGUGAAAGCCCGGGGCUCAACCUCGGAACUGCAUCCGAUACUGCCAUGCUAGAGUACUGGAGAGGUGACUAGAAUUCUCGGUGUAGCAGUGAAAUGCGUAGAUAUCGAGAGGAAUACCAAAGGCGUAGGCAGGUCACUGGACAGUUACUGACACUGAGGCACGAAAGCGUGGGGAGCAAACAGGAUUAGAAACCCUUGUAGUCC
rnacentral:rRNA from 1 species